GCCGCUCUCUGGGUGGGGCGGAGAGGCGGCCGGAGGACCUGCGGCGGUCAGCUUCGGCUGCCUUGGGGCCUGCUCUGUUUCAGCGUCCUCCUGUGCGUUCAGCUAGGCACCAUGGGGAAGCGGGACAAUCGGGUGGCCUACAUGAACCCAAUAGCAAUGGCCAGAUCACGGGGUCCAGUCCAGUCUUCAGGGCCAACAAUCCAGGAUUAUCUGAAUCGACCAAGACCUACCUGGGAGGAAGUAAAAGAGCAGCUAGAAAAGAAAAAGAAAGGUUCCAAGGCUUUGGCUGAAUUUGAAGAAAAAAUGAAUGAGAAUUGGAAGAAAGAGCUAGAGAAACACAGAGAGAAAUUACUAAGUGGAAAUGAGAGCUCAUCCAAAAAAAGACAGAGAAAGAAAAAAGAAAAGAAAAAAUCUGGUAGGUAUUCAUCUUCUUCUUCAUCAAGCUCUGAUUCUUCCAGCAGCUCCUCAGACUCUGAAGACGAGGAUAAGAGACAAGUGAAGAGGAGAAAGAAAAAGAAGAGCCGAUCCCAUAAAUCUUCGGAAAGCUCCGUGUCAGAAUCUGAGUCAGACAGUAAGGAUGGUUUAAAAAAGAAAAAGAAGUCAAAGGAUGUGACUGAAAAAGAAAAGGACACUAAAGGACUCAGCAAAAAAAGAAAAAUGUAUGACGAUAAACCAUUAUCAUCUGAGUCAUCAUCAGAGUCAGAUUAUAUUGAAGAGGUACGAGCAAAAAAGAAGAAAAGCGGUGAAGAACGAGAGAAAACAAUAGUCUGGUACCUCUUCCUAGAACUUCCCUAGUUCUUAAAGUGAGGGGCCUUCUCUGAUACAAAGGUUCACCUGAAAAUAUAGGAUUCAGAGGACAAAACAAAGAAGAAGAAGAAGCAUAAGAAACACAGUAAGAAGAAGAAAAAGAAGGCCGCCAGUUCAAGUCCCGGCUCACCAUAACAUCAACACCAGGGUUCCUGAGAGAGUGCAAUGUCUAAGGAAAUCUCAACUGUGAAAAUGCUGACAUACUUACUAACGUGCAUGAAUUUCCUUGUUUUUAGAAUUACUCCUGGACUAUUCGGUAGCCGCUCAGAUUCCGCCAUGUGAAAGGCCCAUGAUUGUUGUUGCCUGUUGCUUGAACACCUUUUUCUCCAGUGCUUGGUAACUCUGGGAGAUAGUACACUGCAGUCAUACUAGUGGUUAAGAAGUUUGGAAUAAAGCUAAUAUUUUUACUAGAAGUACCUAAUAUAAGUCAACAGAAACUCAACCUGGACGCAUCUUUAAGAUGUAAUCAGAAUCAAUGAGAUGGCUCUAGUAAAAUUUUUGAAGUAGGGGUUACACUAAUACUUCAAAAUCCUUACUCUGUAGAUAAAUGUAUUUUAAUUUUCCCCCUUGUAAACUUUUAUUUCCCUGGGGAAGGAGCUUUUCAGGGGGUCUGCUAUGUAGCUAGCAGAACAGCGUGCCUUUGAUCCCCACACAUCCCACUUUGUGGACACUGUAGCCAUGCUUCCUGGGAGGCCCGAGCUGGGCACCAUCAGUCUGGCUCUUGACUGAGGUUAAUGACGUCCAUGGACUUCGUUGUAUGCUGCCUUGAGUGAACCAGAGAGACACAGCCCUUUGCAGCAUGAGAAAGCCCCCAGAGCUCUGGAAUUUACCUCCACUUCAAUAAUAACUGAAUGUUCUUUAGGCUGUGUUAUAUCAUUUGAAUUUUAACUAUACUUUUGAAAGGACUUGUUUCAAAUAGACACUGGUACUUUUUGAACUUGAUAGCUAAAGAUUCUAAAAUGCAUGUUUUAUACUGUUAAAAGUUUUAACCAGUCAGGAAAUUUUUAUGUAACCAGUGAUAGUUACUUUAUUUUUUGUAUGGGUUUUGUUCUGACUGCAACGUUUAGCUUUUGUUAACUCCUUAUUCUUGCUGUCUUAAGUUCAUUACUAUGUUAAAUGGCACACUUGCCAAGAUAUUUAGCAUGUAAAAAGCAGGACUUUUUGUUUUCAUUUUUAACAGCUUCAUAUUGAAGCUGACACUUACCACAAACAAGUUGAGUGGCAAGCCUGGUAUACUGUAUCUUGUUACAUAAAGCUAUUACCAGAAUCUUAGUAAACAUAAUGUUUUAAAAGUC